GCGUGCGCGAUGACGGCCUUCGGGUUGUAAAGCGCUUUUAGAGGAGAUGAGAAAGGACAGUAUCCUCAGAAUAAGCCUCGGCGAACUACGUGCCAGCAGCCGCGGUAAAACGUAGGAGGCUAGCGUUAUCCGGAUUUAUUGGGCGUAAAGCGCGUGCAGGCGGUUUGAUAAGUUGGAUGUGAAAUCUCCCGGCUUAACUGGGAGGGGUCGUUCAAUACUAUCAGACUAGAGAAUGGGAGAGGGAGGUGGAAUUCCGGGUGUAGUGGUGAAAUGCGU
rnacentral:rRNA from 1 species